GACCUAGGCGGCCAGGUUAGUGGGGCGUGAAAUCCUUCGGCUCAACCGAAGACCUGCGCUUCAAACUGCCUGGCUUGAGUCCGGGAGGGGAGACGGGAAUUCCUGGUGUAGCGGUGAAAUGCGCAGAUAUCAGGAAGAACACCGGUGGCGAAGGCGCGUCUCUGGAACGGAACUGACGCUGAAGUCCGAAAGCGUGGGGAGCAAACA
rnacentral:rRNA from 1 species